GACGAACGCUGGCGGCGUGCUUAACACAUGCAAGUCGAACGGAAAGGCCCCUUUGGGGGUACUCGAGUGGCGAACGGGUGAGUAACACGUGAGUAACCUGCCCUUGACUUCGGGAUAACUUCAGGAAACUGGGGCUAAUACCGGAUAGGAAUCCUUGCUGCAUGGUGGGGGUUGGAAAGCUUCGGCGGUUUUGGAUGGACUCGCGGCUUAUCAGCUUGUUGGUGGGGUAGUGGCUUACCAAGGCUUUGACGGGUAGCCGGCCUGAGAGGGCGACCGGCCACAUUGGGACUGAGGUGCGGCCCAGGCUCCUACGGGGGGCAGCAGUGGGGAAUAUUGCACAAUGGGCGGAGGCCUGAUGCAGCAACGCCGCGGGCGGGAUGACGGCCUUCGGGUUGUAAACCGCUUUCAGCAGGGGCGAAGCUUGUGGUGACGGUACCUGCAGAAGAAGCACCGGCUAACUACGUG
rnacentral:rRNA from 1 species